AGGAACGGUAUACCACGGGUGAG
rnacentral:siRNA from 1 species